CAGGGAGACAUAAACUGAUUAUGAUGUCUAAUUUAUAAAUUUAGGCCAUAAUCCUGUCACCUUAGGUCGAUCGGUACCUCUGAUUAUUAACUUAAAAAUUGAGGAAUUAAUUAUCAUAGUUUUUAAUUUCAGUUCCUAAACUUGUCUAGGUCACACCCAACAAACUUUCUCCUGGGCUAUUAGCUCAGGCGGUUAGAGCGCACCCCUGAUAAGGGUGAGGUCCCUGGUUCAAGUCCAGGAUGGCCCAUUCGUUGUUGGGGGUAUAGCUCAGUUGGUAGAGCGCCUGCUUUGCAAGCAGGACGUCAGCGGUUCGAGUCCGCUUACCUCCACUGAAAACCACCAAUAACUAAUUGCAGGAGAAUUUUUGUAAGUGACUUAGAUAUGUCUAUUUGAAAGAACCUAGCUUUUUGCCAUCUGCUUUAAAGUUGGUAAAAUGCUGGGCUCACAUGAAAUUUUCAUGUGAUUUCAGUAGAACCUUGAAAACUGCAUAGAUAGGAAGAAUAAAGCAUCUCAUGGAUGCAUAGUUCUGGAAAAAGAAAUUAGAUUUAUUUUAAUUAUCUAAUCUCCAGAAUUCAUGUUUAAUUCUUGAGUAAAAGCCGAGCACAAUUAUUUUGUGUUUGUAUUAAA
rnacentral:tRNA from 1 species